UACGUAGGGGGCAAGCGUUGUCCGGAAUUAUUGGGCGUAAAGAGCGUGUAGGCGGUCCGGUAAGUCAGCUGUGAAAGUCAAGGGCUCAACCCUUGAAAGCCGGUUGAUACUGUCGGGCUAGAGUCCGGAAGAGGCGAGUGGAAUUCCCGGUGUAGCGGUGAAAUGCGCAGAUAUCGGGAGGAACACCAGUGGCGAAGGCGGCUCACUGGCCCGAUACUGACGCUGAGGUGCGAAAGCGUGGGGAGCAAACAGG
rnacentral:rRNA from 1 species